UCCUGGCUUAGAACGAACGCUGGCGGCAUGGAUUAGGCAUGCAAGUCGAACGGGAGCAGCAAUGCUCCAGUGGCGCAAGGGUGAGGAACACGUGAACAACCUGCCUUCGAGUUGGGGAUAGCUUCUGGAAACGGGAGAUAAUACCGAAUAACAUCAACGGGUCGCAUGACCUGUUGAUCAAAGCAGCAAUGCGCUUGAAGAGGGGUUCGCGUCCCAUUAGCUAGUUGGUGAGGUAACGGCCCACCAAGGCGAUGAUGGGUAGCUGGUCUGAGAGGACGAUCAGCCACAUUGGGACUGAGAUACUGCCCAGACUCCUACGGGAGGCUGCAGUCGAGAAUUUUGGGCAAUGGACGAAAGUCUGACUCAAGCAAUGCCGCGUGCGGGAUGAAGGUCUUCGGAUUGUAAACCUUAGUCAACAGGGACGAAGCAAGUGACGGUACCUGUGGAGGAAGCCACGGCUAACUACGUGCCAGCAGCCGC
rnacentral:rRNA from 1 species